rnacentral:pre_miRNA from 1 species
UGUGGAAUUUCUAGAUCAUAUGAUAAUUCUGUGUUUAGCAUUUGAGGAACUGCCAAACUAUUUUCCAAACCUGCUGUACCAUUUUACAUUCCCACCUGCAAU